GAAAUCAUGUGAGAGGCUUCCACUGUGUUUUAGCAUCAAGGCAUAUCAGUUUCAGUUUCCAUCCUUUCAUGGCUUUGAUUGACGAGUAGUGACUCAAUAAGUUAUGAGUUCAUACAGGAGUCAAUUCCUUUUCUCAGUAGUUGGCUACCAGAUGAGAUUAAAAACAGACAAACAAACUUUAAAGUGUAGGCUAUAUUGUCUUUGUACAAAGGUGUACACCGAACUGCCGUACUUUCAGAACCUCUCUUCAGUCCUGAAGACUAGUGGAGUCAUCAUGCCCAAGGGAACACAACAACAUUACAUCAGUAAGGACAGAACAUACAGAAAUAACCCCACGUUUGGUGAAUCUGCUGAGGCCAUCUCCUGCAUACCUCGUGGCCUCAACCCGGCCACCCUCCUCUCCAAACCCUGACAUGUCCUGGCCAUGGAUGGUGCUGUCCUCUUCAGAGGGCCUGGUCUGAUGUUUGAAGAGCCUGUCUAUCCUGUCAAAUACACACUGCUGCAUUUACCAUGUUCCUGCAUCCAUCAUGUGAGGUCAUGUGCUGUCAUAGACGCUGUGGAUUCCUGUUACAUGUCAUCUGCCCAUCUGCACAGGAGAAGACCAGACGGUACGUCCUCCCUAGUCACAAGACCACUGGCGUGGUAACUAGAUAGGACAGGUUUUCUUAAUGUCUUUAUAAUGUUGAUACAGUAGGAGAGAGUGAUAAAUGUGUCUUUGGGACUUUUCACUUUUAGAAGUGUGGGACGCUGUGUCCCUUUAUUUUUACUGCCUGUGUGUUCGUGUCUCAGCAAGGAAACCUGAUCUGGCGCCUCCUGUAUCUGAAGCAGGAUUCCAGCUACACCAUUGGCUACGCUGCUAAAAUUGGCACGUUGACCCCUAUGAAUAUUAUGUUUUUCACUUGGCCUUAUGGGGCCAGUGUUGUGCACUGCUGAGACUCAGUGGUGAGGUCAUCGCGGCAGCAGGUUCAUUGUUUUUAGAUUUGCUACUAUCACAAAUGAAGACGUUUCCAGGUACUUAUGAGUUUGUGCUUUACAGUUGUACACAGUGUUCAAGAUUACUGUGUUUUUUCAGAUAUCGCAAAAUACUGCUAUCAGCAGACACCAUAGUUACAACAUGAUUGUCAACAUGAUGUAAACUUUAUGUUCAUUUUCCCCCUUUCAUGAGUAAUGGAUCAGCUCAUCUGAGCCUGGGCGCAAACCCAGGGACUCUGGCGCUGCAGUACAGCACCCUUAACCACUGCACCACCCGGGAGGCUGCCGUACACCUUUACAUCUAAAUGUACACCUUUAUUUAACUAGGCAAGUCAAUUAAAGAACACAUUCUUAUUUUCAAUGACGGCCUAGGAACGGUGGGUUAACUGCCUUGUUCAGGGGCAGAACGACAGAUUUGUACCUUGUCAGCUCAGGGGAUUCAAUCUUGCAACCUUACAGUUAAUUAGUUCAAUGCUCUAACCACCUGCCUCUCAUUGCACUCCACGAGGAGCCUGCCUGUUACGCGAAUGCAGUAGAAGCCAAGGUAAGUUGCUAGCUAGCAUUAAACGUCUCUUAAAAAAAACAAUCAAUCAACAUAAUCACUAGUUAACUACACAUGGUUGAUGAUAUUACUAGUUUAUCUGAUCCACCUCUACGCAGACGACACCAUUCUGUAAACUUCUGGCCCCUCCUUGGACACUGUGCUAACUAACCUCCAGACGAGCUUCACUGCCAUACAACUCUCCUUCUGUGGCCUCCAACUGCUC
rnacentral:lncRNA from 13 species